CCUACGGGAGGCAGCAGUGGGGAAUAUUGGGCAAUGGACGCAAGUCUGACCCAGCAACGCCGCGUGAAGGAAGAAGGUUUUCGGGUUGUAAACUUUCUUUAAGGGGGAAGAGCAGAAGACGGUACCCCUUGAAUAAGCCACGGCUAACUACGUGCCAGCAGCCGGGGCAAUACGUAGGUGGCAAGCGUUGUCCGGAUUGACUGGGUGUAAAGGGCGUGCAGCCGGAGAGACAAGUCAGAUGUGAAAUCCACGGGCUCAACCCGUGAACUACAUUUGAAACUGUUUCCCUUGAGUGUCGGAGAGGUAAUCGGAAUGCCUUGUGUAGCGGUGAAAUGCGUAGAUAUAAGGAAGAACACCAGUGGCGAAGGCAGAUUACUGGACGAUAACUGACGGUGAGGCGCGAAAGCGUGGGGAGCAAACAGGAUUAGAUACCCGUGUAGUC
rnacentral:rRNA from 1 species